CGGGGUGGAGUAAUGUCUGGGAAACUGCCUGAUGGAGGGGGGUAACUACUGGAAACGGUAGCUAAUACCGCAUAAUGUCGCAAGACCAAAGAGGGGGACCUUCGGGCCUCUUGCCAUCGGAUGUGCCCAGAUGGGAUUAGCUAGUAGGUGGGGUAACGGCUCACCUAGGCGACGAUCCCUAGCUGGUCUGAGAGGAUGACCAGCCACACUGGAACUGAGACACGGUCCAG
rnacentral:rRNA from 1 species